UACGAGGGGUGCAAGCGUUGCUCGGAAUUAUUGGGCGUAAAGGGUAGGUAGGUGGUCUUAUUUGUCUCAUGUGAAAGCCUUGAGCUCAACUCAAGAAGUGCGUGAGAAACGGUAAGACUCGAGUCCUGGAGAGGGUCGUGGAAUUCCCGGUGUAGCGGUGAAAUGCGUAGAGAUCAGGAGGAACACCGGUGGCGAAGGCGGCCUACUGGGCCAGCACUGACGCUGAGGCGCGAAAGCUCGGGGAGCGAACGGG
rnacentral:rRNA from 1 species